rnacentral:rRNA from 1 species
AUUGAACGCUGGCGGCAUGCCUUACACAUGCAAGUCGAACGGUAACAGGUCUUCGGAUGCUGACGAGUGGCGAACGGGUGAGUAAUACAUCGGAACGUGCCCAGACGUGGGGGAUAACGAGGCGAAAGCUUUGCUAAUACCGCAUACGAUCUAAGGAUGAAAGCAGGGGACCGCAAGGCCUUGCGCGUUUGGAGCGGCCGAUGGCAGAUUAGGUAGUUGGUGGGAUAAAAGCUUACCAAGCCGACGAUCUGUAGCUGGUCUGAGAGGACGACCAGCCACACUGGGACUGAGACACGGCCCAGACUCCUACGGGAGGCAGCAGUGGGGAAUUUUGGACAAUGGGCGAAAGCCUGAUCCAGCAAUGCCGCGUGCAGGAUGAAGGCCUUCGGGUUGUAAACUGCUUUUGUACGGAACGAAAAGGCUCUGGCUAAUACCUGGGGCACAUGACGGUACCGUAAGAAUAAGCAUCGGCUAACUACGUG